rnacentral:lncRNA from 1 species
GGUGCAGCUCCAGUGUGACACACCUGGAGAAGGAGUGAGAACAUCAGACGCUGGAAACAGGUGGCCAGGUGCAGCUCCAGCGUGACACACCUGGAGAAGGAGUGAGAACAUUAGACGCUGGAAACAGGUGGCCAGGUGCAGCUCCAGCGUGACACACCUGGAGAAGGAGUGAGAACAUCAGACGCUGGAAACAGGUGGCCAGGUGCAGCUCAGCGUGACACACCUGGAGAAGGAGUGAGAACAUCAGACGCUGGAAACAGGUGGCCAGGUGCAGCUCCAGCGUGACACACCUGGAGAAGCAGUGAGAACAUUAGACGCUGGAAACAGGUGGCCAGGUGCAGCUCCAGCGUGACACACCUGGAGAAGGAGUGAGAACAUCAGACGCUGGAAACAGGUGGCCAGGUGCAGCUCAGCGUGACACACCUGGAGAAGGAGUGAGAACAUCAGACGCUGGAA